rnacentral:lncRNA from 1 species
GCUACCUUAAUUGACAUGCAAACGAGAGACUAUACGAAGCUUAGCAAUCCUAUGGGGAGACGAUCACACCAUACAAAACAAACAUGCAUAAAGUAAACACGCUAACAAGGGGGCUCAAAAACAUGGGUAGGGCUUUAGUCAAGAGGGGUCAUAUCAACCUCGACAAACAAGCCAUGGAAAGGUAAUCAAAUGGGAUCUUAAACACUGACACUGAA